rnacentral:rRNA from 2 species
AAGCUCGUAGUUGGAUUUCUGUUAAUAAUUUAUAUAUAAUAUUUUAUGAUAUUUAUAUAAUAUUAACAUAAUUCAUAUUACUAUAUAUUAUUUAGUAUAUGAAAUUUUACUUUGAGAAAAUUAGAGUGCUUAAAGCAGGCAUUUGCCUUGAAUACUCCAGCAUGGAAUAAUAUAAAAGAUUUUUAUCUUUUUUAUUGGUUCUAAGAUAAAAAUAAUGAUUAAUAGGGACAGUUGGGGGCAUUUGUAUUUAACAGUCAGAGG